CAAUGAAAUGCAGUCUAUAAAAAUAAAAAAAUAAUUAAAAAAAAGGACGUUCCUUACAACAUGAAAUAGUCUUUAUCUUACUUGUGCAUAUUGCAAGCCAACAGUAGGAACUUUUAUAGUAAUAAACUAUUUUAAGCAUGCAACCUUCCGAACAUGCCACCAAUAUAUAAAACACAAGUUCGCAUGGAAAAAAUGUCGGACAGCCAGUCCGGACUGUAAACAAAGAUACUUGAAUAUAGUCUACACAACCUUCUUACCUCUCUUGCGGCCCGAUCGUGUGAAUGGUGUCUUAGUGUUCGCACUAGGCAUCUUUAGCCUCAACGAUCGAGGUCUACGUAAGGGGAGAUCAGCAAUCUUCGAGGGUUCAACAACGAUGACAUCGUCAACCGGUGGAGCAUCAAUGGAGACAGCACCUGUAGGUACAGUGUUUGGUGCCUCAGUUACACCAUCACGAGCAGCAUGUACUGACCCUUGGACUCCAACCCCAGCCAUCAACAUUCUGAACACAUCAUUGAUCUGGCAACCAACUGCUUCGGUUGAUGUUAUGUGUCCACUUCCACAUUUGGAGUCAAAUUGUGAUCUUUACCAUCACGGUGGGGCAUAUCUCCACCGCAAUAGUCCUGAAAUUUACCAUACUUGCCGGUGACAUUGUGGCCCCCAAAGUUAGUAGUUGCUUCAUCAAACAUACGUCGAAUCAGAUUUACCUCAUCAGUCACAUGCUUUCUCAAACCGUGCGCAUGACCACCCAUUUCAUUUUUCAAACUAGCAAAUAUCACAUUCAUUUCUUCCAUCAACUCGCCCAACCUACCCUUAAAUUCCUCCCUUUGUUCAUUCAAGAAUGAUCUUUUCUCCUCUAAANAGAUGUGUAUAAGAGAACAGGUCGGUGACAUUGUGGCCCCCAAAGUUAGUAGUUGCUUCAUCAAACAUACGUCGAAUCAGAUUUACCUCAUCAGUCACAUGCUUUCUCAAACCGUGCGCAUGACCACCCAUUUCAUUUUUCAAACUAUCAAAUCUCACAUUCAUUUCUUCCAUCAACUCGCCCAACCUACCCUUAAAUUCCUCCCUUUGUUCAUUCAAGAAUGAUCUUUUCUCCUCUAAAGACAAGGGCCUCACGGGUGGACGGUGGCAUGAGGUAGAAGAUGGCAAGCCGAUGAACGGGUCGUCAUGGUCUUUAUCUCCACCUUCAGCGGGAUGCAAAUCUCAAAGACAAAGUCCACCUGUGUUGCCUCUCCAAGAUUUUUGUCCUUCAUUAUUGUUCACAUUGUGCAUAGCUUCACCUUCAGGUGGACAAUCCUGUAUGUCUAUUGACUGAGCAAUGAGGCUGUCUAGAAUGGGGUCUGAUGUGUCUUGUAUAGUAACAAAACUAGCAAAAUAUGGCUGCAAUUCUUCUGAAGCAAUAGCAGCAGCAUCGCCCACAAGUGCACCUACAAGGGGAGGAUAAAAAUGACAAAAAUAAUUAUUAGCCAUUCCAAAAUUGUAAGAGUGAUUUUAUAUGGAAAAUGGUCACAUGCGUCUUCUCGAAGAAGUCCGAAUAUGUUCGAGACUGAGGUUGUCUUGUGACAAUCCACCGCAAUAUCCUCGGAACAUCUUCACCCUUCUUUGGCAUAAAUCGAGCUCCCAACUCCGGGAUUAUCUCGUGCACCCACAAUUUCAUGAAAAACAUAACAGUGGUUACUAUAUACAUAGGCACAUAACAACGUAGGACGGGAAAAAAUGAAAUGAAUACUGAACAAGUGUACCUCAACAGCAAGAGAGAAAUUGUACGUGUAAGACAUCCGAUCACAGCGUGGACCUUUGCCAAGUCUUCCUUUCUCCCCCAUCCACGAAGAAGUGAUUUGAUAAGAAAUUUGAAGCAUACUAUCCCCACGGGUGGGCAUUGAAAAAAUCCAAGUCAUCCAUGAUGAAGAGAGUUUCAUGAUGUAUCCCCAUGUUUCGAUCUCUACAAUUGAAUAUCCCUUUAAUAAUUAGCGCUAACCUAAGUUUGUAAUGAUCGUUACGGUUGGCACAUUUUAGGAAAACAUUCUCGAGGUAGCUACAUGUUACCCGGUCUCUACGGGAAUACAAUUUGUCCCAUAGUCGGAUUUUUCCUAGGAUGUUGCUAAAACCCUCACCUUUCGGUACUUCACCACACUUCAACCUGGUGAUUAAUGCAAACUCCGGCAGUCCGAAUUGUGCAAACCAUUGGUUCACCUUGAACCAAGCUUUGGAACUUUUUCGACAAACUGUUAACCACUAUGUGAAUUAAUUGUCCAAAUAGUUUGGGCUUCAACAACUUCGCAACAUGUCCUAUGUAACUUUCGUCAAAUGUAUGCUUUUGCUGUGCAUGGAGUUUGUUGAGGACAACUAUUAUAUAUUUGGUGUUGUACACUUGCGAGACUUGAGCCAGGAUGCACUUUUCGUCCAGAACGUUAUAUCAGUGUGAGAAAGUUAUCUAUAAAUCGCAAAAAU
rnacentral:lncRNA from 1 species